AGUGAACGCUGGCGGUAGGCCUAACACAUGCAAGUCGAACGGCAGCACAGUAAGAGCUUGCUCUUACGGGUGGCGAGUGGCGGACGGGUGAGGAAUACAUCGGAAUCUACUUUUUCGUAGGGGAUAACGUAGGGAAACUUACGCUAAUACCGCAUACGACCUACGGGUGAAAGCAGGGGAUCUUCGGACCUUGCGCGAUUGAAUGAGCCGAUGUCGGAUUAGCUAGUUGGCGGGGUAAAGGCCCACCAAGGCGACGAUCCGUAGCUGGUCUGAGAGGAUGAUCAGCCACACUGGAACUGAGACACGGUCCAGACUCCUACGGGAGGCAGCAGUGGGGAAUAUUGGACAAUGGGCGCAAGCCUGAUCCAGCCAUACCGCGUGGGUGAAGAAGGCCUUCGGGUUGUAAAGCCCUUUUGUUGGGAAGGAAAAGCAGCAGGUUAAUACCCCGCUGUUCUGACGGUACCCAAAGAAUAAGCACCGGCUAACUUCGUG
rnacentral:rRNA from 1 species